ACGGAGUAGAAAUACUUAGUGGCGGACGGGUGAGUAACGCGUGAGAAUCUGCCUUCAGGACGGAGACAACAGUUGGAAACGACUGCUAAGCCCCGAUGAACCGAAAGGGAAAAUAUUUAUAGCCUGAAGAUGAGCUCGCGUCCGAUUAGCUAGUUGGCGGAGUAAAAGCCCACCAAGGCGACGAUCGGUAGCUGGUCUGAGUGGACGAUCAGCCACACUGGGACUGAGACACGGCCCAGACUCCUACGGGAGGCAGCAGUGGGGAAUUUUCCGCAAUGGGCGAAAGCCUGACGGAGCAAGACCGCGUGGGGGAAGAAGGCUCUUGGGUUGUAAACCCCUUUUCUCUGGGAAGAAAGUUGUGAAAGCAACCUGACGGUACCAGAGGAAUCAGCAUCGGCUAACUCCGUGCCAGCAGCCGCGGUAAUACGGAGGAUGCAAGCGUUAUCCGGAAUAAUUGGGCGUAAAGCGUCCGCAGGUGGCGAUUCAAGUCUGCUGUUAAAGGUCCUGGCUCAACUGGGAUAUGGCAGUGGAAACUGAAGAGCUAGAGUGCGGUAGGGGUAGAGGGAAUUCCCGGUGUAGCGGUGAAAUGCGUAGAGAUCGGGAAGAACACCAGUGGCGAAAGCGCUCUACUAGGCCUGCACUGACACUCAGGGACGAAAGCUAGGGGAGCGAAUGGGAUUAGAUACCCCAGUAGUCCUAGCCGUAAACGAUGGAUACUAG
rnacentral:rRNA from 1 species